rnacentral:misc_RNA from 1 species
GAUUAAGAACGUAGCGAAAUGCGAUACGUAAUGUGAAUUGCAGAUUUCAGUGAAUCAUCGAAUCUUUGAACGCACAUUGCGCCCGCCAGUAUUCUGGCGGGCAUGCCUGUUCGAGCGUCAUUUCAACCAUCAAGCGCCUCGCUUGUGUUGGGGCCCUGCGGCUGCCGCAGGCCCCUAAAUCCAGUGGCGGGCUCGUCGUCGUACCGAGUGCAGUAAACAUCCUCGCUCAGGGAACCCGACGGGUGCCGGCCGUGAAACCCCCCCUCCUCAAGGUUGACCUCGGAUCAGGUAGGAAUACCCGCUGAACUUAAGCAUAUCAAUAGCGGAGGA